GAAACUGAGAGAAAUAAAGGAUAGGUUCUCAGAAGCCUUUAAAUUUGCAGUAUCAUCUUUUUUCUUGCCUCCCACAUGGAUACGGAUCAUACAAUCUGUGACCAGGAAGUGUGGUGCUCCUCGUGUCCUUUUGCAGUGACCUGUGCUGGGGAAGUUCUACCUUUCAGACAUCAAGGAAUGCUUUAUACUGCAGAAUUAUCUUGUUACCUCUUUCAUAUUGAAGCUGUAGGUCCUUGUGUAGUUUUUAUUGAGUUUCAUCUUCCUGUUUGACGCCAUGGGCUAUUAUUCCGUACACCUGCACUCAGCCAGAAAUGUAAUGAAAAAGAAUCAAUCUCUGAAGAGAAAGCUAUCACCAGCCAAUAACAUCAGGCCACUUUCAUGUGUCCUGCAGUGUUUCAUCCAAUUGCCAAAAUACCUUCCCAUUAAAAACUGAAGACAGUAUCUCAGCUGCUCUUCCUGGUAA